rnacentral:tRNA from 1 species
GAGGGUAUAGCUCAGUGGUAGAGCAUGUGAUUAGCAUGCACGAGUCCUGGGUUCAAUCCUCAGUACCUCCA